AGGACACCGUGGUGUUUAAGGACGGCCAGUUAACCAGAGCCCCUUUUCCUCAGGGGACACCGUGGUGUUUAAGGAUGGCCAGUUAACCAGAGCCCCUUUUCCUCAGGGGACACCGUGGUGUUUAAGGAUGGCCAGUACUGGAUCCGAGGCCGGACCUCAGUGGACAUCAUCAAGACUGGAGGCUACAAGGUCAGCGCCCUGGAGGUGGAGUGGCACCUGCUGGCCCACCCCAGUAUCACAGAUGUGGCUGUGAUUGGAGUUCCGGAUAUGACAUGGGGCCAGCGGGUCACUGCUGUGGUGACCCUCCGAGAAGGACACUCACUGUCCCACAGGGAGCUCAAAGAGUGGGCCAGAGAUGUCCUGGCCCCGUACGCGGUGCCCUCGGAGCUGGUGCUGGUGGAGGAGAUCCCGCGGAACCAGAUGGGCAAGAUUGACAAGAAGGCGCUCAUCAGGCACUUCCACCCCUCAUGACCCGGCAGACUGGGACUGCAGUUCUGGUGGGGAGCAGCAGACGUCCCCUUCACACCGAGAACCGCGGGGGCCCAUCCAAGACCUGGCCUCCCUUAAACCUGAACCCCCCAAAUCAGGUCACGUAGAAUCAAGAACUGUUUGGGAUGAAAUCACCAUGUGGUGUCCCCAGCCUCGGGCCAGUUGUUGCAGCUCAAGGAGACCGUCCCUGGUGUCACCUCUGUGUGGUCACCGCCGACCUCAUCUGUGCAGCACAGUGCAGCCAGCCCCUGGCCCCACGUGCUGAGGCACCUCCCACCCCAUAGUGCCCUGCAGUUGCCAGGCUCUCCAGGGCAGGUCCCGGAGGUGUCCCGCAAAAAACAAAGACUCCACUGGAGGAA
rnacentral:sRNA from 1 species